rnacentral:siRNA from 1 species
GUGAACAUGUGCAUCUUACAC